CUCGGCCUCCCAAAGUGUUGGGAUUACAGGCGUGAGCCACCGCGCCCGGCCUUUCACUUUCAUUUUUCUGAUGAGGAAAUGGAAGCUUGGAUAGGUGAAUUUGCUUUCCUAGUGUCUUUUACCUAGGACAUAGGAUGUGAAAGGAGGUGACUGUGUCCACAGCCAGAAAGUUUGUAAAACCAGAACUCAGCCCAGGUUUCCUGAUUUACCAUCCAAAGAGGUGGCCUCGGGGAGGUGGUGUUACAUUUUAAUUUUGCCUCUGCCAGAAAACUGGAGGGUGUGUCAAUGCUCGUUCCUAACGGCUUGCCUCAUGGCCCCAGGAGGUCGCUCACAUUCUCCUGCAGGACUUGGUGUGGUCGGCAUGGCUUGGGCCAUGGUGGGCUCCUGUUGUGUGGACUUGCAGGGCAGGCCAGGUCUCGCUGUGAAGCUACCCUGUGCUGGCAGGCAAGGACACCAAGCUGGGAUAGAACCCUGGGCAGGUGAAGAGCUGGGAGGUUUGGGGCCGAGUGCAUGGGCUUUGCUCAGUUCCGCUUGUCCAGGAUACUGCAUGCUCUGCAAGGAGGCAGGUGACUGCUAAUUAGAGGUCCCCGUUCCUUACCUAAUGGUCAAGGCCUGCCCAGGCUGGCCAGACAGAUAAUCAUUGUUCAACCUCCCUUUAUUCCCCUCCCCUCCUUGCCCUCCACUUCCCAACCAGGUGAAAGAAAAAGAGACUUGGUAAUUCACUGAGCAUCACCCAAGACCGGGCGCAGACCCGCACCCUGGGGUAUAAAAGACGUAGUACUCACUUCAUUCCUGUUUCACAGAUGCACAGACUUACUCUUGGAGAGGCUCCUCCCAAAAGUCACCCAGCUGAUUUUCAUCCACUUGGCUCCCCAAGUUGCUGCUCGACCGCUCUCUGACCUGGAUUCACUGAGGACACAUCAGGGCCUUUGCCACGGGGUCCAUGGAGUGGCCGGAGCCCGGGGCUGGGUGAGUGUGGGGUGGGUCUGAAGGGGAGGAUGUGCAUCUAGAGACCAGGCCAGCCCCUGCAGGAUUUUCUGAUGUCAAAUCGCCUGUCCUGUGCCUGAGCCCCAUCGCCUUAGCAGAAUGAGGACACGCGCCUCCCCUGGGCUUCCCCAGCGUGGCCUGAGUGAGUGUCUCCCCAGCUGCAGUGUUUGCAAUCAGCAGGUCAAGAGGGGACCCUCCUGCCCGGCUCCCAUGGCGCUGCUGCUCCUUCUAGCAGUCCCAGCUUAACCCCCACACUUCUUAUACUGGUCCCAGGGCCCUCUAUGGGUUAGGGUGUAGAAGGAGGUUGUGCUGGUUAAAAACACCAGGUGGAAAUCUCUUUUCUCUGAAUGCUGAUGGAGUGCUGUUAAAGAGACAGUUCUUUUCAGUCUAGUUGGAUCCUGGGUGAAGACUCAGGCCUUGCUCAAGAAGGGAGACCACCCAUAUGUGCUGUCCCAUGUUUCCAGGGAGGAGGCUGGAAGUCCAAGAUCAAGGUCCUGGUAGGUUUGGCUUCUGGUGAGGGCUCUCUCCAUGGCCAGGAGCUUCUUCCACUCCUGGGCACAGAUGGGCCCUGUUAGACUGUUGCCUUGCUCCCAAUGAAUCAUGCCCCCUCCCACUGCCUCUGGGGUUGUGUCUAUGAUGUCCUCUUCCUGGGGACAAAUGCAGCUUCAGCUGCUAUAGGCUGGGACUGUGGCCCUCCCUGCACCAGUCCCAGGGCCCAGCUUCCCCAGGCCACUAGCACUGCUCCAGGAACAGUGUCCAAGUCAGUCCCGACUGCUAAUAGAAUCCCACGGACUGAGUGGCUUCAGGAACAGGAAUUUAUUUCUCACAGUUCUGGAAGUCCAAGAUCAGGGUGCUGGCAGAUUUGGCUCCUGGUAAGGGUUCUCUUCAGGCUCGCAGACAGCUGCCUUCUUGCUGUAACCUCACAUGGUGGAGAGAAAACUCUGGUGUCUCUUCCUUUUCUUAUAACGGCACUAAUUCCAUCGUGGAUCCCCCAC
rnacentral:lncRNA from 1 species